rnacentral:rRNA from 2 species
CAAGUCGAACGAUGAUCUCCAGCUUGCUGGGGGGAUUAGUGGCGAACGGGUGAGUAACACGUGAGUAACCUGCCCUUGACUCUGGGAUAAGCCUGGGAAACUGGGUCUAAUACCGGAUAUGACCAUUCCGCGCAUGCGGUGGUGGUGGAAAGCUUUUGCGGUUUUGGAUGGACUCGCGGCCUAUCAGCUUGUUGGUGGGGUAAUGGCCUACCAAGGCGACGACGGGUAGCCGGCCUGAGAGGGUGACCGGCCACACUGGGACUGAGACACGGCCCAGACUCCUACGGGAGGCAGCAGUGGGGAAUAUUGCACAAUGGGCGGAAGCCUGAUGCAGCGACGCCGCGUGAGGGAUGACGGCCUUCGGGUUGUAAACCUCUUUCAGUAGGGAAGAAGCGAAAGUGACGGUACCUGCAGAAGAAGCGCCGGCUAACUACGUGCCAGCAGCCGCGGUAAUACGUAGGGCGCAAGCGUUAUCCGGAAUUAUUGGGCGUAAAGAGCUCGUAGGCGGUUUGUCGCGUCUGCUGUGAAAGACCGGGGCUCAACUCCGGUUCUGCAGUGGGUACGGGCAGACUAGAGUGAUGUAGGGGAGACUGGAAUUCCUGGUGUAGCGGUGAAAUGCGCAGAUAUCAGGAGGAACACCGAUGGCGAAGGCAGGUCUCUGGGCAUUAACUGACGCUGAGGAGCGAAAGCAUGGGGAGCGAACAGGAUUAGAUACCCUGGUAGUCCAUGCCGUAAACGUUGGGCACUAGGUGUGGGGGACAUUCCACGUUUUCCGCGCCGUAGCUAACGCAUUAAGUGCCCCGCCUGGGGAGUACGGCCGCAAGGCUAAAACUCAAAGAAAUU